rnacentral:tRNA from 1 species
GCAAUUUUAGUUUAAUUUAAAAUAAUGGUUUGUCUCACCAUAGAUGACUUUUAGUCAAGUUGCU